CCUGGGCAAUGGCGGGCGCCCCUCCCCCAGCCUCGCUGCCGCCUUGCAGUUUGAUCUCAGACUGCUGUGCUAGCAAUCAGUGUGACUCCGUGGGGUAGGACCCUCCGAGCCAGGUGCGGGAUAUAAUCUCGUGGUGCGCCGUUUUUUAAGCGGGUCUGAAAAGCGCAAUAUUCGGGUGGGAGUGACCCGAUUUUCCAGGUGCCGUCCGUCACCCCUUUCUUUGACUCGGAAAGGGAACUCCCUGACCCCUUGCUCUUCCCAAGUGAGGCAAUGCCUCGCCCUGCUUCGGCUCGCGCACGGUGCACGCACCCACUGACCUGCGCCCACUGUCUGGCACUCCCUAGUGAGAUGAACCCGGUACCUCAGAUGGAAAUGCAGAAAUCACCCAUCUUCUGCGUCGCUCACGCUGGGAGCUGUAGACCAGAGCUGUUCCUAUUCGGACAUCUUGGCUCCUCCCGUGCUUUCUACAUCCCACAUGGAAGCAGCAAUGAGAUGUUUUAAAACGAGAUGUUUCAAAAUCACCAUCUCACUCUAGUUUGUCUACAAAGCCAUCUAUCAAGAACAUUAUAUGAACUUUUAAAUACAUUCUUCUGUAUUUAUAGAAUGAUUUUUAAAGCAUUUCCAGCCAUGUUUAAAAGCUGUGAAUAGUCUUUUUUUUGUAACCUAGUAACCAAAGUUAUUAAUGAAAGUCACAGUUAAACUUUUUUCCUUUGAAAAUAAAAUGAAUCAACACAUAACGAGAAGGUUAACAUUUUUCUCUAUCUUCUGGAAA
rnacentral:lncRNA from 1 species